rnacentral:lncRNA from 1 species
CCCGCGUGCCUCGCCGCCACAGCACAGCCACGCUCAGCCAGCGUGAGCAUUGGCAGCAGGCUCGGGGUGUCCCCACACCCCGGUGUUGGCUGUGGGAGGGGAGGUUUGUGCUUGAUUUUUAUUUAUUUUUUUUUUAAUCUUUCAUUUCCGUUUCCUUCCACUCUUUCAUUUUUCCGCACUGCCCAACCCGCAGUGUUGAAACUCGGCCGCCUCGUCAGUGCUGGCUUUGGGAGGGCUGGGGAUGUGGGGGUCAGCUGGCCCAGCAAUUGCUGCUUGGGGACAAAAGGAGCCUUUUUUGUUUUUCUUUUUUUCUUUUUUUUUUUUUUUCCUUCUUUUUUUUCUGCAGCGCCAGUAGCAGCUGCCAGCCAGAAUAGCAAAUCCAUGCGACUUGGCACCACUCCAGCUUCCUUGAGGGUUGCAGAGGGAUGGUAUGUUGGAGGCAAAGGACAAACCAGCAGCUAAACCCUGACUGGGGAGCAGCCCUUGAAGGAGUCUAGAGCAGCCCCUGGAGAUGACACCAGGGCACGGGCCAGGCUCCCUGUGCAGGAGGAUUGCAGCCCCACGCCCCAGGAGGAAAUUUUUGUCAUCAAAACAAAGGACAAGAGACCUCACAGACCGCAGGAGCAACCAGGAAAUGUUUCCAGCUGCCUCCAGGUCUU